rnacentral:rRNA from 1 species
CCUACGGGAGGCAGCAGUCGAGAAUCAUUCACAAUGGGGGAAACACUGAUGGUGCGAAGCCGCGUGGGGGAAUGAAGGUCUUCGGAUUGUAAACGCCUGUCAUGUGGGAGCAAAUUAAAAAGAUAGUACCACAAGAGGAAGAGACGGCUAACUCUGUGCCAGCAGCCGCGGUAAUACAGAGGUCUCAAGCGUUGUUCGGAAUCACUGGGCGUAAAGCGUGCGUAGGCUGUUUCGUAAGUCGGGUGUGAAAGGUGCGGGCUCAACCCGCGGACGGCACAUGAUACUGCGAGACUAGAGUAAUGGAGGGGGAACCGGAAUUCUCGGUGUAGCAGUGAAAUGCGUAGAUAUCGAGAGGAACACUCGUGGCGAAGGCGGGUUCCUGGACAUUAACUGACGCUGAGGCACGAAGGCCAGGGGAGCGAAAGGGAUUAGAUACCCGAGUAGUC